rnacentral:rRNA from 1 species
GAUGAACACUGGCGGCGUGCUUAACACAUGCAAGUCGAACGGUGAAGCAGGAGCUUGCUCCUGUGGAUCAGUGGCGAACGGGUGAGUAACACGUGAGCAAUCUGCCCUGGACUCUGGGAUAAGCGUUGGAAACGACGUCUAAUACCGGAUACGAGGCGUGGGGGCAUCCCCAACGCCUGGAAAGAACUUCGGUCCAGGAUGAGCUCGCGGCCUAUCAGGUAGUUGGUGAGGUAACGGCUCACCAAGCCGACGACGGGUAGCCGGCCUGAGAGGGUGACCGGCCACACUUGGACUGAGACACGGCCCAGACUCCUACGGGAGGCAGCAGUGGGGAAUAUUGCACAAUGGGCGCAAGCCUGAUGCAGCAACGCCGCGUGAGGGACGACGGCCUUCGGGUUGUAAACCUCUUUUAGCAGGGAAGAAGCGAAAGUGACGGUACCUGCAGAAAAAGCACCGGCUAACUACGUGCCAGCCGCCGCGGUAAGAC